AGCAGUCGAGAAUUUUUCACAAUGGGCGAAAGCCUGAUGGAGCGACGCCGCGUGGAGGAUGAAGGCCUUCGGGUUGUAAACUCCUGUCACCCUGGACCAAGGCUUUCAGGUUGAAUAAACCUGGAAGUUUGAUUGUACAGGGAGAGGAAGGGACGGCAAACUCUGUGCCAGCAGCCGCGGUAA
rnacentral:rRNA from 1 species